rnacentral:lncRNA from 1 species
GGUGGGAAGCAUUAGAAAGAGAGUGAAAAGAAAAAUAAAAAAGGCCUCACACGCAGCAUUGGGUUUAUUUGAGAGACAGGGCAAGAGAGAAUGAAGUGUUGGAGAGAGAAGGUGCUGGAAGGCCAGCCGAUGCCAAUCCCUUCCUUAUCUGUUCUUGGCUGCCAGGGGUUUCCGGCUGAUCUUUUUCGAUUUGUCAUUAUUCUUCUUCGGUGGUUCUGGGUUGGCCUGCAUGUGUCUGCCGUAGAGGUAUUUGUAUGUCUCAGAACGGAUAUACUCAAAAACAUGGGACACGCCAAGCUGGAACUGGUCUG